rnacentral:tRNA from 1 species
GGGCCUUUAGCGCAGUUGGUAAGAGCUUCCGGCUCAUAACCGGAUGGUCGCAGGUUCGAAGCCUGCAAGGCCCACCA